GAAGGCUUCUUCUGCUCGGGCAUAUCUUUCGGCUCGAGCUAGCAAAUCAGCAAAGUCCCUGAGAUAUUUCUUUUUCAGGGAAAAUAGAAGAUCGUUCUUUUGAAGACCGCCCUUCAGGACGGCCAUCACGAUUGAUUGGUCCAAGUUUCAGACCUCCAGCGCAGCGAUGUUAAAGCGGUUGACGUAGGCUCGGAUGGAUUCUCCCUCCUUCUGCUUGAUGUUGAUAAGGGACUUCGAACCUCUCCGGGGAUGCUGGCUGCUAACAAAAUGAGCCGCAAACUGGUGGCUCAUCUGAUCAAAAGAAAAGAUAGUACC
rnacentral:lncRNA from 1 species